rnacentral:rRNA from 1 species
UACGUAGGGUGCAAGCGUUAAUCGGAAUUACUGGGCGUAAAGCGUGCGCAGGCGGCUUUGCAAGACAUAUGUGAAAUCCCCGGGCUUAACCUGGGAACUGCAUUUGUGACUGCAUGGCUAGAGUGCGGCAGAGGGGGAUGGAAUUCCGCGUGUAGCAGUGAAAUGCGUAGAUAUGCGGAGGAACACCGAUGGCGAAGGCAAUCCCCUGGGCCUGCACUGACGCUCAUGCACGAAAGCGUGGGGAGCAAACAGG